GUGCACUCACGCAAGUGAGUGCUUUUGUGAAGUGUAAAUAGCUUCACGAAUAAAAGCGGGGUAAGACCGGUGCCAGCCGCCGCGGUAACACCGGCCGCUUGAGUGGUGAUCACUAUUAUUGGGCCUAAAGCGUCCGUAGCCGGUUUGGUAAGUCCUUGGGCAAAUCCUGUUGCUUAACAGCAGGAAUUCUGAGGAUACUGUCAGACUUGAAGUCGAGAGAGGUCGGAGGUACUCCUGGGGUAGCGGUGAAAUGUUAUAAUCCUGGGGGGACCACCAGUGGCGAAAGCGUCCGACCAGAGCGAGCUUGACGGUAAGGGACGAAAGCCAGGGGAGCGAACGGGAUUAGAUACCCCGGUAGUCCUGGCCGUAAACGCUGUGGGCUAGGUGUUGCAUGCUCUACGAGGGCGUGCAGUGCCGUAGAGAAGUUGAUAAGCCUACCGCCUGGGAAGUACUAUCGCAAGAUAGAAACUUAAAGGAAUUGGCGGGGGAGCACCACAAGGGGUGAAGUCUGCGGUUCAACUGGAUUCAACGCCGGACAUCUCACUGGAAGCGACGGCAGGAUGACAGCCAAGCUGAUGACUUUGCUUGACGAGCCGAGAGGAGGUGCAUGG
rnacentral:rRNA from 1 species